rnacentral:rRNA from 1 species
AUUGAACGCUGGCGGAAUGCUUUACACAUGCAAGUCGAGCGGCAGCGCGGGGCAACCUGGCGGCGAGCGGCGAACGGGUGAGUAAUGCAUCGGAACAUGUCCAUGUCGUGGGGGAUAGCCCGGCGAAAGCCGGAUUAAUACCGCAUACGCUCGGGAGAGGAAAGCCGGGGACCGCAAGGCCUGGCGCGAUUGGGUUGGCCGAUGUCCGAUUAGCUUGUUGGUGAGGUAAAGGCCUACCAAGGCGAUGAUCGGUAGCUGGUCUGAGAGGAUGAUCAGCCACACUGGGACUGAGACACGGCCCAGACUCCUACGGGAGGCAGCAGUGGGGAAUUUUGGACAAUGGGGGCAACCCUGAUCCAGCCAUUCCGCGUGAGUGAAGAAGGCCUUCGGGUUGUAAAGCUCUUUUGUCCGGAGCGAAACGGGCGCGGCUAAUACCUGCGUCCACUGACGGAACCGGAAGAAUAAGCACCGGCUAACAACGUGCCAGCAGCCGCGGUAAGAC